rnacentral:rRNA from 1 species
CUCUCCCUCUGGCGGCAGGCUUAACACAUGCAAGUCGAGCGGGCACUUUCGGGUGUCAGCGGCGGACGGGUGAGUAACGCGUGGGAACGUGCCCUCUGGUUCGGAAUAACUCAGGGAAACUUGAGCUAAUACCGGAUACGCCCUUUUGGGGAAAGGCUUGCUGCCGGAGGAUCGGCCCGCGUCUGAUUAGCUAGUUGGUGAGGUAACGGCUCACCAAGGCGACGAGCAGUAGCUGGUCUGAGAGGAUGAUCAGCCACACUGGGACUGAGACACGGCCCAGACUCCUACGGGAGGCAGCAGUGGGGAAUAUUGGACAAUGGGCGCAAGCCUGAUCCAGCCAUGACGCGUGAGUGAUGAAGGCCUUAGGGUUGUAAAGCUCUUUUAUCCGGGACGAUAAUGACGGUACCGGAGGAAUAAGCCCCGGCUAACUUCGUG